GACGAACGCUGGCGGCGUGCUUAACACAUGCAAGUCGAACGGAAAGGCCCUGCUUUUGUGGGGUGCUCGAGUGGCGAACGGGUGAGUAACACGUGAGUAACCUGCCCUUGACUUUGGGAUAACUUCAGGAAACUGGGUCUAAUACCGGAUAGGAGCUCCUGCUGCAUGGUGUGGGUUGGAAAGUUUCGGCGGUUGGGGAUGGACUCGCGGCUUAUCAGCUUGUUGGUGGGGUAGUGGCUUACCAAGGCUUUGACGGGUAGCCGUCCUGAGAGGGUGACCGGCCACAUUGGGACUGAGAUACGGCACAGAAGCCUACGGGAGGCAGGAGUGGGGAAUAUUGCACAAUGGGAGGAAGCCUGAUGCAGCAACGCCGCGUGCGGGAUGAAGGCCUUCGGAUUGUAAACCGCUUUCGCCUGUGACGAAGCGUGAGUGACGGUAAUGGGUAAAGAAGCACCGGCUAACUACGUG
rnacentral:rRNA from 1 species